AGUGAACGCUGGCGGCGUGCUUAACACAUGCAAGUCGAACGAGAACGGCCUUAGCUUGCUAAGGUGUCAGCUAAGUGGCGCACGGGUGAGUAAUAUAUAGUUGAUCUGCCCCUUGGAGAGGGAUAGCCAUUGGAAACGAUGAUUAAUACCUCAUACUCCUAUUGUCGUAAGGAUAAUAGGGAAACGUCUUUUCGCCAAGGGAUGAGACUAUAUCGCAUCAGUUAGUUGGUAGGGUAAUGGCCUACCAAGACAAUGACGCGUAGCGGGUCUGAGAGGAUGAUCCGCCACACUGGUACUGAGACACGGACCAGACUCCUACGGGAGGCAGCAGUGAGGAAUAUUGCACAAUGGGGGAAACCCUGAUGCAGCAACGCCGCGUGGAGGAUGACGCAUUUCGGUGUGUAAACUCCUUUUAUAGGGGAAGAUAAUGACGGUACCCUAUGAAUAAGCACCGGCUAACUCCGUGCCAGCAGCCGCGGUAAUACGGAGGGUGCAAGCGUUACUCGGAAUCACUGGGCGUAAAGCGCGCGCAGGCGGGCUGACAAGUUGGAUGUGAAAUCCUAUGGCUUAACCAUAGAACUGCAUCCAAAACUGUCAGUCUAGAGUCUGGGAGGGGAGGAUGGAAUUAGUUGUGUAGGGGUAAAAUCCGUAGAGAUAACUAGGAAUACCAAAAGCGAAGGCGAUCUUCUGGAACAGUACCGACGCUGAGGCGCGAAAGCGUGGGGAGCAAACAGGAUUAGAUACCCUGGUAGUCCACGCCCUAAACGAUGAAUGUUAGUCGUUGGAGAGCUCGCCUCUUCAGUGAUGCAGCUAACGCAUUAAACAUUCCGCCUGGGGAGUACGGUCGCAAGAUUAAAACUCAAAGGAAUAGACGG
rnacentral:rRNA from 1 species